GACGAACGCUGGCGGCGUGCUUAACACAUGCAAGUCGAACGGAAAGGCCUUUUCGGAGGUACUCGAGUGGCGAACGGGUGAGUAACACGUGGGUGAUCUGCCCUGCACUCUGGGAUAAGCCUGGGAAACUGGGUCUAAUACCGGAUAGGACCGCACUUUAGUGUGUGGUGGAACGUUUUUUCGGUGUAGGAUGAGCCCGCGGCCUAUCAGCUUGUUGGUGGGGUAAUGGCCUACCAAGGCGGCGACGGGUAGCCGGACUGAGAGGUUGGUCGGCCACAUUGGGACUGAGAUACGGCCCAGACUCCUACGGGAGGCAGCAGUGGGGAAUAUUGCACAAUGGGCGCAAGCCUGAUGCAGCGACGCCGCGUGGGGGAUGACGGCCUUCGGGUUGUAAACUCCUUUCGCCAGGGACGAAGCGUUUUGUGACGGUACCUGGAGAAGAAGCACCGGCUAACUACGUG
rnacentral:rRNA from 1 species